rnacentral:rRNA from 2 species
GGCGAACUGGUGAGUAACACGUGGGAAACCUGCCCAGAAGCGGGGGAUAACACCUGGAAACAGAUGCUAAUACCGCAUAACAACUUGGACCGCAUGGUCCGAGUUUGAAAGAUGGCUUCGGCUAUCACUUUUGGAUGGUCCCGCGGCGUAUUAGCUAGAUGGUGGGGUAACGGCUCACCAUGGCAAUGAUACGUAGCCGACCUGAGAGGGUAAUCGGCCACAUUGGGACUGAGACACGGCCCAAACUCCUACGGGAGGCAGCAGUAGGGAAUCUUCCACAAUGGACGAAAGUCUGAUGGAGCAACGCCGCGUGAGUGAAGAAGGGUUUCGGCUCGUAAAACUCUGUUGUUAAAGAAGAACAUAUCUGAGAGUAACUGUUCAGGUAUUGACGGUAUUUAACCAGAAAGCCACGGCUAACUACGUGCCAGCAGCCGCGGUAAUACGUAGGUGGCAAGCGUUGUCCGGAUUUAUUGGGCGUAAAGCGAGCGCAGGCGGUUUUUUAAGUCUGAUGUGAAAGCCUUCGGCUCAACCGAAGAAGUGCAUCGGAAACUGGGAAACUUGAGUGCAGAAGAGGACAGUGGAACUCCAUGUGUAGCGGUGAAAUGCGUAGAUAUAUGGAAGAACACCAGUGGCGAAGGCGGCUGUCUGGUCUGUAACUGACGCUGAGGCUCGAAAGUAUGGGUAGCAAACAGGAUUAGAUACCCUGGUAGUCCAUACCGUAAACGAUGAAUGCUAAGUGUUGGAGGGUUUCCGCCCUUCAGUGCUGCAGCUAACGCAUUAAGCAUUCCGCCUGGGGAGUACGGCCGCAAGGCUGAAACUCAAAGGAAUUGACGGGGGCCCGCACAAGCGGUGGAGCAUGUGGUUUAAUUCGAAGCUACGCGAAGAACCUUACCAGGUCUUGACAUACUAUGCAAAUCUAAGAGAUUAGACGUUCCCUUCGGGGACAUGGAUACAGGUGGUGCAUGGUUGUCGUCAGCUCGUGUCGUGAGAUGUUGGGUUAAGUCCCGCAACGAGCGCAACCCUUAUUAUCAGUUGCCAGCAUUAAGUUGGGCACUCUGGUGAGACUGCCGGUGACAAACCGGAGGAAGGUGGGGAUGACGUCAAAUCAUCAUGCCCCUUAUGACCUGGGCUACACACGUGCUACAAUGGAUGGUACAACGAGUUGCGAACUCGCGAGAGUAAGCUAAUCUCUUAAAGCCAUUCUCAGUUCGGAUUGUAGGCUGCAACUCGCCUACAUGAAGUCGGAAUCGCUAGUAAUCGCGGAUCAGCAUGCCGCGGUGAAUACGUUCCCGGGCCUUGUACACACCGCCCGUCACACCAUGAGAGUU